CGCCAGCACAGACCAUCUUGUCUGUGGCCAGGACGCUCCACCAGUCGGGUAGGGUGCAGAUGUCGUGGCCGACGACUGGCAGGAGAACCUGCUGCAGGAUGUCAGCCAGAGGACCUUCGGCUGUGGAGGAGGAAACUCAGGUGCAUUGACUCACUCAAGAGUCGACCCCACCCGGUGACGUAGCAGCGAGAACCGUGCUGCAGGGUGACAGCCGGGUCCGGGAUGCAGGCCGGCAUGAUUGUGUCAGAGAAGGUGACAGGGGAAGACAACUUGAUCAGGGCGAUGUCGUUGCUGCAAAGGCAGAAACAAUUCACCCCCGUUCAGGAAGUGAAGGUGGUGUUGAGUUGUGGCUGUUACCGGCUGAGCAGAACGUUGUAGUCCUCAUGAGUGAUGAUUUCAGCCGCGCUCAGAGCUACGGAGCCCUCCUCGCUCGCCUGCAGGCUGUGUUUACCCAGCUCCACUCUGUAGUUGUAGCGGUCACUGUGGGAUGGCAGAUGACGGGGUGGGAUUUAGACACUGGCAUAGACUUCUCUGUGUGAGUUUGUGAUUAAGCUGACGGUGGAUCAAAAAUGCCUGGCAGUCCUGUAGGGGUGAUGCAUGUCUGUCUGUGUCACUAAAUAUUUUUAGCUUUGCCUUUGUUAAAUUCUCUAAAGUUUUUCUUUUUCUCUUAAAUUCCCCAGAAAAAGCCAAAAGUUUAUGAAAAUAUAUGAUUUGCUUUUGGGCAAAGGAGUAUUUCCCGGCACAGAACUGUGAUCUGGAACACAGUAGUACGUAGGCUCACUUUCAUGAAUUGUACAUAUUGGAUCACUAUGGAGAUAUAGAGUAAACAGUGACAAGAAAAGCUUUGUUUAAAAAGAUCUGCUGUAAUGUAUAAAUGUGCA